rnacentral:rRNA from 1 species
AAUCAACGCUGGCGGCGUGCCUAACACAUGCAAGUCGAGCGCGAAAGGGGGGCAACUCCCGAGUAGAGCGGCGAACGGGUGAGUAACGCGUGGGUAAUCUACCUUCGAGUGGGGAAUAACAGCGGGAAACUGCUGCUAAUACCGCAUAACCUCCCUGGGCCUUCGGGUCUGGGGAUCAAAGCUGGGGACCGCAAGGCCUAGCGCUUGAAGAGGAGCCCGCGUCCGAUUAGCUAGUUGGCGGGGUAAUGGCCCACCAAGGCGACGAUCGGU